UACAGAGGGGGCAAGCGUUGUUCGGAAUUACUGGGCGUAAAGGGCGCGUAGGCGGCCUGCUAAGUCGAACGUGAAAUCCCUGGGCUCAACCCAGGAACUGCGUCCGAUACUGGUUGGCUUGAAUCCGGGAGAGGGACGUGGAAUUCCAGGUGUAGCGGUGAAAUGCGUAGAUAUCUGGAGGAACACCGGCGGCGAAGGCGACGUCCUGGACCGGCAUUGACGCUGAGGCGCGAAAGCCAGGGGAGCAAACGGG
rnacentral:rRNA from 1 species